CCUACGGGAGGCAGCAGUGAGGAAUAUUGGUCAAUGGGCGUAAGCCUGAACCAGCAAAGUCGCGUGAGGGAUGAAGGUUCUAUGGAUCGUAAACCUCUUUUAUAAGGGAAUAAAGUGUGGGACGUGUCCUAUUUUGUAUGUACCUUAUGAAUAAGGAUCGGCUAACUCCGUGCCAGCAGCAGCGGUAAGACGGAGGAUCCGAGCGUUAUCCGGAUUUAUUGGGUUUAAAGGGUGAGUAGGCGGCCUUUUAAGUUAGCGGUGAAAGUCUGUGGCUCAACCAGAGAAUUGCAGUUGAAACUGGGGGGCUUGAGUAUGUUUGAGGCAGGCGGAAUGCGUGGUGUAGCGGUGAAAUGCUUAGAUAUCACGCAGAACCCCGAUGGCGAAGGCAGCCUGCCAAGCCAUGACUGACGCUGAUGCACGAAAGCGUGGGGAUCAAACAGGAUUAGAUACCCGAGUAGUC
rnacentral:rRNA from 1 species